CAAAGAUUAAGCCAUGCAUGUCUAAGUAUAAGCAACUAUACUGUGAAACUGCGAAUGGCUCAUUAAAUCAGUUAUCGUUUAUUUGAUAGUACCUUACUACAUGGAUAACCGUGGUAAUUCUAGAGCUAAUACAUGCUAAAAACCCCGACUUCGGAAGGGGUGUAUUUAUUAGAUAAAAAACCAAUGCCCUUCGGGGCUCCUUGGUGAUUCAUAAUAACUUAACGAAUCGCAUGGCCUUGCGCCGGCGAUGGUUCAUUCAAAUUUCUGCCCUAUCAACUUUCGAUGGUAGGAUAGUGGCCUACCAUGGUAUCGACGGGUAACGGAGAAUUAGGGUUCGAUUCCGGAGAGGGAGCCUGAGAAACGGCUGCCACAUCCAAGGAAGGCAGCAGGCGCGCAAAUUACCCAAUCCCGACACGGGGAGGUAGUGACAAUAAAUACUGAUACAGGGCUCUUUUGGGUCUUGUAAUUGGAAUGAGUACAAUUUAAAUACCUUAACGAGGAACAAUUGGAGGGCAAGUCUGGUGCCAGCAGCCGCGGUAAUUCCAGCUCCAAUAGCGUAUAUUAAAGUUGUUGCAGUUAAAAAGCUCGUAGUUGAACCUUGGGCCUGGCUGGCCGGUCCGCCUCACCGCGUGUACUGGUUCGGCUGGGCCUUUCCUUCUGGGGAUCCGCAUGCCCUUCACUGGGUGUGUCGGGGAACCAGGACUUUUACUUUGAAAAAAUUAGAGUGUUCAAAGCAGGCAUAUGCUCGAAUACAUUAGCAUGGAAUAAUAGAAAUAGGA
rnacentral:rRNA from 1 species